UACGGAGGGUGCAAGCGUUGUCCGGAUUUAUUGGGCGUAAAGGGUGCGUAGGCGGCGCGGUAAGUCGGGUGUGAAAUCUCGGAGCUUAACUCCGAAACUGCAUUCGAUACUGCCGUGCUUGAGGACUGGAGAGGAGACUGGAAUUUACGGUGUAGCGGUGAAAUGCGUAGAUAUCGUAAGGAAGACCAGUGGCGAAGGCGGGUCUCUGGACAGUUCCUGACGCUGAGGCACGAAGGUCAGGGGAGCAAACGGG
rnacentral:rRNA from 1 species